rfam:Winogradskyella psychrotolerans RS-3 Winogradskyella_psychrotolerans_contig_7, whole genome shotgun sequence.
CAAGUAGAUCGCCUUAUCGAUUCUAAAUUUAUUUAGGGUAGGAAAGUCCGAACACCAUAGUGCAAUCAUAGUGGUUAACAGCCAUCCAUCGUAAGGUGAGGAAAAGUGCAACAGAAAGUAUGUACAGGUAAUGCUGUAGUGAAACCAGGUAAACUCUAUGUGGUGCAAUGUCAUGUAUACUAACGUUUGAGCGUACACGCGCGAUUGUUAGAGGGUAGGCAGCUAAAGUUUGCUGGUAACAGUAAACGUAGAUAAAUGAUAGGGGCUUUUUCUUUAUUAGGAAUUUAUUUCCUAAUAAGAAAAUGUACAGAAUUCGGCUUAUAGAUUUACUUAAAUA